rnacentral:rRNA from 1 species
UGGGGAAUAUUGCACAAUGGGCGCAAGCCUGAUGCAGCCAUGCCGCGUGUAUGAAGAAGGCCUUCGGGUUGUAAAGUACUUUCAGCGGGGAGGAAGGUAGUAAAGUUAAUACCUUUGCUCAUUGACGUUACCCGCAGAAGAAGCACCGGCUAACUCCGUGCCAGCAGCCGCGGUAAUACGGAGGGUGCAAGCGUUAAUCGGAAUUACUGGGCGUAAAGCGCACGCAGGCGGUUUGUUAAGUCAGAUGUGAAAUCCCCGGGCUCAACCUGGGAACUGCAGCUGAUACUGGCAAGCUUGAGUCUCGUAGAGGGGGGGAGAAUUCCAGGUGUAGCGGUGAAAUGCGUAGAGAUCUGGAGGAGAACCGGUGGGGAAGGAGGCCCCCUGGGCGAAGACUGACGCUCAGGUGCGAAAGCGUGGGGAGCAAACAGG